rnacentral:rRNA from 1 species
CAAGAGCGUAUAUUAAAGUUGUUGUAGUUAAAAAGCUCGUAGUUGGAUUUCUGGUAUAAUGCGCCUGGCCCGCUCCGUUUCGGAGUGAGUGCCGGUGCGCGUUUGCCAUCCUUCUAGAAAACGUUUCUACCCUUCGCUGGGCCGGAUUCGCGAUCUAGAUCUUUUACUUUGAAAAAAUUAGAGUGUUUAAAGCAGGCUUUUGCUAUGAAUACAUUAGCAUGGAAUAAUAAUCUAGGACUUCGGUUCUAUUUUGUUGGUUUCUAGUACUGAAGUAAUGAUUGAUAGGGAUAGUUGGGGGUGCUAGUAUUGACCGGCCAGAGGUGAAAUUCUUGGAUUCGGUCAAGACUAACUUAUGCGAAAGCAUUCACCAAGGAUGUCUUCUUUAA